AUUGCCCUAGUAACGGCGAGUGAAGCGGCAACAGCUCAAAUUUGAAAUCUGGCUCUUUCAGAGUCCGAGUUGUAAUUUGCAGAGGGCGCUUUGGCUUUGGCAGCGGUCCAAGUUCCUUGGAACAGGACGUCACAGAGGGUGAGAAUCCCGUACGUGGUCGCUAGCUAUUGCCGUGUAAAGCCCCUUCGACGAGUCGAGUUGUUUGGGAAUGCAGCUCUAAAUGGGAGGUAAAUUUCUUCUAAAGCUAAAUAUUGGCCAGAGACCGAUAGCGCACAAGUAGAGUGAUCGAAAGAUGAAAAGCACUUUGGAAAGAGAGUCAAACAGCACGUGAAAUUGUUGAAAGGGAAGCGCUUGCAGCCAGACUUGCUUGCAGUUGCUCAUCCGGGCUUUUGCCCGGUGCACUCUUCUGUAGGCAGGCCAGCAUCAGUUUGGGCGGUGGGAUAAAGGUCUCUGUCACGUACCUCUCUUCGGGGAGGCCUUAUAGGGGAGACGACAUACCACCAGCCUAGACUGAGGUCCGCGCAUCUGCUAGGAUGCUGGCGUAAUGGCUGUAAGCGGCCCGUCUUGAAACACGGACCAAGGAGUCUAACAUCUAUGCGAGUGUUUGGGUGUCAAGCCCGAGCGCGUAAUGAAAGUGAACGGAGGUGGGAACCCGCAAGGGUGCACCAUCGACCGAUCCUGAAGUUUACGGAAGGAUUUGAGUAAGAGCAUGGCUGUUGGGACCCGAAAGAUGGUGAACUAUGCUUGAAUAGGGUGAAGCCAGAGGAAACUCUGGUGGAGGCUCGCAGCGGUUCUGACGUGCAAAUCGAUCGUCAAAUUUGGGCAUAGGGGCGAAAGACUAAUCGAACUAUCUAGUA
rnacentral:rRNA from 1 species